AAAGUACUAUUUUAAACUGAAGACAACACUAACAAUAAGGUAUUCACGUUUGUAAUUCUAUCUAUAUGUAUUAUAAAGUGAAUUUCAUCCUAAAGUUCCAAAUGAGAUCCUUCUGGAACGGUAACUGUAGCAGUAAUAAGUUGGAGAAGGCCGAGGGGAAGGUAAGUUUGAACUAAUUACUGCUGAGCUGAAUUGACUAUCACUCACAACUACAGCUGAUCAACCUUCUUUUGGUUUGGUUUUAGCCUUGACACCAUCAGGUAUGCACGAUGAACAAUAAACUGGCAACAGUGUACAUACUGCCUGUAUUAACAGGGCAUGUCCUAGGCCAGAGAAGUCCUUCGCUGUCACCUGGACAAACGAUGACAGAGCGACACCAAGAUAACCACUUAUAAUAACAGCCACAGCUAAGGCAGACAUGAGAAAUGCCAUGACAGAUCCUUCACAUCCCGGUGGGCAGAGCUGUGCCAUUAAAACAUUGAAGGGUAAGAUCUUAAAGAAGUAGAGAACCUCCAGUAAUCCGGAGAAGAGCACCACAUACAAUGAGUCAGGAAUACCAAGCAUCCUGUAUACUCCUUUCACGAAUAAGAAAUCCGAAAACAUGAAAACAGCCAUAGUAGCCUGAAUUGCUGAGAUUAGCGUCCUAGGAGACAUUGAUUUGAGGUUCUUAUUGUAGAUUAUACCCCACAACAGCAUUGCAGCCUGCCCAAAUACUUUAGAUACACCCAACACUGACGAUUCAAUACCUAAAUGUUCUGUCUGGUAAUAGAACAUUG
rnacentral:misc_RNA from 1 species